GAGAAAGAAAGAAACAACAAACAAAGAGACAAGUACCUUCUGUCAAUCCUUCAAGAUCCUCCAGAAAGGUUAGAACAGACACGCAAUAAUUUGCAAAUAAGGUCUUCUCUGCUCCCUUGGGUUCAACGGAGGAGCUGGGAACCAAGCUGCCACGGCUUCAAGACCAAGGCCACCGAUGUGCUGGGGAGAGAGUCAGGAAGGGAUGUCACCCUGGCAGUCUUUGGCAAGAAGGCACUGACAAAACCAUGAUGCAAACUUUUGGAAUGAAUAACGGAGGACGAGAAAUUUAAUUACAAAAAUUACGACUACAGAAUAAAAAACAAAAUUGGAGGAAAAAAUAUCUGAACUCGUCUGCACACGAUGACCCUCGGAAUGCAUAAUGCUGACAAAAUUACAGGUUGACUUGAAAAGCCACAAUCUCAAUGGGACGUUUUAAUAUAUCCUAUCAGGAAAUGGAGAAGAUAACAUUUGUUAAUAUCCAACAGUUAAUAAAAAAAUUUUAAGGACCAUGGACA